GAUGAACGCUAGCUACAGGCUUAACACAUGCAAGUCGAGGGGAAACGAUGAGAGAGCUUGCUCUCUUAGGCGUCGACCGGCGCACGGGUGAGUAACGCGUAUCCAACCUACCCAUUACAGGGGGAUAACCUUGCGAAAGUAAGACUAAUACCCCAUGGCAUUUUAUGGUGGCAUCAUUAUAGGAUUAAAGAUUUAUUGGUAAUGGAUGGGGAUGCGUCUGAUUAGCUUGUUGGCGGGGUAACGGCCCACCAAGGCAACGAUCAGUAGGGGUUCUGAGAGGAAGGUCCCCCACAUUGGAACUGAGACACGGUCCAAACUCCUACGGGAGGCAGCAGUGAGGAAUAUUGGUCAAUGGGCGAGAGCUUGAACCAGCCAAGUAGCGUGCAGGAUGACGGCCCUAUGGGUUGUAAACUGCUUUUAUAGGGGAAUAAAGUGAGCUACGUGUAGUUUAUUGCAGGUACCCUAUGAAUAAGGACCGGCUAAUUCCGUG
rnacentral:rRNA from 1 species